rnacentral:rRNA from 1 species
CAGAAUCCGGUUGAUCCUGCCGGACCUGACUGCUAUCGGAUUGAUACUAAGCCAUGCGAGUCAUUGUAGUAAUACAAGGCAGACGGCUCAGUAACGCGUAGUCAACCUAACCUAUGGACGGGAAUAACCUCGGGAAACUGAGUAUAAUGCCCGAUAGAACAUUAUGCCUGGAAUGGUUUAUGUUCCAAAUGAUUUAUCGCCGUAGGAUGGGACUGCGGCCUAUCAGUUUGUUGGUGAGGUAAUGGCCCACCAAGACUAUUACAGGUACGGGCUCUGAGAGGAGUAGCCCGGAGAUGGGUACUGAGACACGGACCCAGGCCCUAUGGGGCGCAGCAGGCGAGAAAACUUUGCAAUGUGCGAAAGCACGACAAGGUUAAUCCGAGUGGUUUGUGCUAAACGAACCUUUUGUUAGUCCUAGAAACACUAACGAAUAAGGGGUGGGCAAGUUCUGGUGUCAGCCGCCGCGGUAAAACCAGCACCUCAAGUGGUCAGGAUGAUUAUUGGGCCUAAAGCAUCCGUAGCCGGUCCUGUAAGUUUUCGGUUAAAUCUGUACGCUUAACGUACAGGCUGCCGGGAAUACUGCAGAGCUAGGGAGUGGGAGAGGUAGACGGUACUCGGUAGGAAGGGGUAAAAUCCUUUGAUCUAUCGAUGACCACCUGUGGCGAAGGCGGUCUACCAGAACACGUUCGACGGUGAGGGAUGAAAGCUGGGGGAGCAAACCGGAUUAGAUACCCGGGUAGUCCCAGCCGUAAACUAUGCAAACUCAGUGAUGCAUUGACUUGUGGUCAAUGCAGUGCUGCAGGGAAGCCGUUAAGUUUGCCGCCUGGGAAGUACGUACGCAAGUAUGAAACUUAAAGGAAUUGGCGGGGGA